GCAUUUUAUUCCUUUUAAAGAAGAAAAAGUAGUUGGUUCUUGGUAGGUGAAAUUUAUUAGGAAAGUGGGAGGGAGGUCUUUUUUGGUUAAUGAAUUCCUAGGGGAAGUUGUAUUUAAGUGUAUAAUACUUUAUGCUGAUUGUGAUCUAUCAACGANAAAAAAAAAAACAAUGAUAAAAAAUAUAUUGUAAAUAAAGAAAACGAAACACCCCAAAUAC
rnacentral:lncRNA from 1 species